UGGAGAAUUAUCCCAUCAUUCUUGUUGUCUGCCGUCUAAACACAUCGGAGUCCAGCAGCUCCUGAGCAGGAAUUCUCUGGAGCUGCUCUGGAGUGGGAAGGACUCCAUGGAAAACUGUGAUGCUCCAGCUCCUCUGGAGCAUGUUUGACAAUCCCAGCCCAAGUGGCUGGAAGUCAGGAGAGCAGGAGCACAAAUCCCUCUGGGAUGGAUCCAGGAUCCUGGUCUGUCAGGAGCUCAGCAGCAUCCAUGAGCUUCAGGCUGACAAACAGAUGGGGUCAGAUGCCCCAAAAUGCACCUCAGGCGGAGAGUCUGACCCCAGGAGACACCCAGGACAUGGAGAGAAGAUACUACAGCUUCAGAAAAUAUUUUAUCAGUGAGGUUUUGAGGACGGGCACAAACCGUGACUACCAGAGACAGGAGCCCUUCCCUCAACAGCAGCUCUAUGCCCACUGUGGAAGUUGAGGAUCCCUUGUUGCACCUCUUUUAGGAUCAGCUGGCAGCAACGAGGCACUCGAGCGCCUCGGGAGCCAUCCCGAUUUACCCCUCGCUCCUGCCCGUCGCCCUCGGGGCGGUUCCGGCUCUGCAGCACAGACAACGGGAUUAGCAUCGAUCUGCCGCGAGCAGCAUCCUGGGCACGGGCUGCGCACGCUGCCCGCGGCCGGGAGCGCCCACCGCCCCUCCCUGCCCACAGCUCUCCCCCGCAGCCGGCAGCAGAGUCCUCUGCAGAGUGUCUUGGCCCCAUUCGGCCCCCAGAGCUGUCCAUCGGAGGGGACAAAAGCGGGUCCUGACCCAAAUAAACCAUGGCCCAAACAGGCGGUGCAGAUUUGAGAGCUGAACCCCCCCGUGCAUCACCUCCCUCCCGCUGGCUUGGCGUUUGGUCACAGCUGGUUUAGCACAACGGCCAUACCCACCAGCAGCUGCUUUCUUACACACGA